ACGGCAGGCAUUACUCGUAUAUCUAAUGAACGUCUUGUUUGCACGGCAAUGGACUUUAUCAGCGCCAGCCGUGUGUUGGCUGGUUAUGAAUAAACGGGUGCGGGCCGGCCCCUUGCGUCGAUUGAGUCACGAACACCGCACUGCUUCUACCACUGCAUUAUUUUACGAUAAUUUCGUUCGUGCCGUGUUCAUUGUUAACGAUAUACAUUGCUUUGUCGUAACAAGUUUUUGCUAAGCCGCCAGCUCACAGGAAGUAAUAUACUGCGAAUAUAAUAGUGGCUUCGUUUAAUAGAUGUGGAUAUUAGUGGGCCUGAGUUGACACGUCUUCGUGGACUCGACUGUCGAGUUAGAUUUUUUUCGUAGCAUAGCGUUCUGAUAUGAGAAAUACGUUAUUUUAUUACGAUAUUUAUGUGUUUGAUGGCUGAACGACAGUUGGCGAUAUUUAAAAGGUCUUAUGUGUAAAUUAUGAUAUGAAUACAUGGCACAAACAAAGAUUUAAAUCUUGCUAGCACACAAACAUGUUACGUGCGACCUGCGUCGGCUUUAAUAAAUUAAUUGUGGACGUUGAGCAUGGAAACGUGGUAUCAGCAAUUGAUACCGGCUGUUGUAACAACGGUGUAAUAUCGCGAAUUUGUGAAUAGUGCAAAUGAAGCGGAUUUUAUAUUAGUUAUUGAGGUUAUGUACGAAGAAUAACAGUGUGACUUCGGCGCUGCACAUUUAAAAUAGGAACGCACGUAGACGUUGCGACAACAUGGCGGAUAUUGAGAAAAAAAAGUAGGUGGCGAUGUAAGAGCUGCAAAAGUCUGUGAAAGGAAGAAAAACAUCGCAAAAAUCCUAAAAAAGUGACGGUGUAAAUAUAAUUAUAAAAAUAUACCACGUGCUAAGUAAAUUGGAGCGUUAUUUGGAACUAGGUACGUAUUUCGAAAGCAUCCAAUUCCAAACGUUCGAACAAAGAGCACGCAAGUUGAACGCGACAAUUACAAGGCGACCGGUUCUGGUGAUCGGUCGUGCGGCCCGCGCGCCGCCCGAGCGCACACAUCCGCGAAUCGGGCGGUUUAUAAAAACGUCAGUGAACAUACCGGCCGCGAACUUCUCCGGCGGCGGGAGCGCAGCCCAGCCGGGCACGACGCACUCACACACUUCCUCCCAGCAUCGCGCCUUCUCCGCGCGGUCGCCGUAGUUGGGAUCGUUGGUGUCGAACAGGCAGGGCCGCCGCUUCACCUCGGAGAUGAUGAGGCUGCUCUUGAUGCCGUCGCCGUCCUUGGUGCGGACCAUUGCGCGACGUGACGUCGGCUCGCGUGCGGGUGUUUGUGCGGACGCUGUGUAUACGCGGGCGGUAUGCGCCUCUCGAAGCCCGCGUGAAACUGGCGGGCUCGCGGACGGCAGCGCGGCGCAUCGGCCAACAUGGCCGCCAGACGGCGGGGAAACGAAAUAGGUGUGAGCGGAGCGCUAUGAGGCCGCUUGCGAUAUCGCCUUCCGAGCGCUAAUAAAUAAAUAAGAUGCAUGCAACGUAUCCUUACAAUUUUAUAUGCUACAUCGGGCGAAAACGUCCAUUUUAUACGCAGUUUAUUCAUUGAAUAUUUGGUGCAGAAUUACAGCGCAAUAAAUAAAUGAUCAGGGCAUGUAUUAUAUGUAUAAGUUUGUACUUAAAUAUGUAGAUACGAUACAAAAUGUCGGGUGUAGUUGUACAAUUGAGUUAGAAGUCAGGCCGGCUAGUUACGUAAGUUUCGCGGUGCGUAUCUUUGGUAGGUGCUGGGUAUCGCGCGUUCAGUUUUUUAUUAUCUUUAUUAUUCAGUUGAGGUGUUCUGACGUACGCAAACUUAGUUUUUUUGUAGUUAUUUCUGACUUAUUUGCUUAACCAGUUCACCUGCCACUUGGAUUUUCAAACGUUUAAAAUACUUAAGUAUAGGAUAAGUAAGCAACAUUUAAUAAAAACAAUGAUUAAUUUAUCAAUUAUCGAAACCAUUAGGCUCUAAAAAUAUAGGUACUUAAUUAUAUGAAAUGGCACCUAAAUACAAUUAGAAACUAAACAAGUAGAUGUCAUUAACGCUGACAAUUAAAGUAACGACGCUACAAACAAAACAACAACAACACGAGAAAUUUCAGUCAGAAAUCUAUUGCGUAGUCAAAGUCAAAUUUUUAAUAAAAAAAAAUACAAAAAAAAAAAAAACUUCGUAAAUAUCUAAAAAAAUACAAAAUCAUAAAAAAACUGAAAACUAAACUGAACAAUAAUAAAAAACCACGUCAUUGUAAAUUCAGCUAAAACAAAGAAAAUACACGCAUCGGAAAUUACAUGCGCACUGCGUAUUUUGUGCUAAUGCGUUCAAAAUAACACCAAUAACAAACUGUUGUGCUGCAAGUAGGUAUAAGAUGACCUGAAUUAAUUAAUAUGCAAUUUCAAUUCCAUACUUUAGUAAGUGAAUUCAAUUUAUUUUUAUUUCUUUUUUUAUUAUUUUUAACUCCUCGACCCACAUAAAUGUAAAUUCCAAUAG